CGCAAACCACUCAGACAGAAACAAGAUAGUCGGUUGGAUAGUCGUGUCAGCGGGUUGUCCGAGAGUAUUUAUUGGAUGUUAUUAGUCGGUACGCAGUGAUGAACUGCGAAUUUUGGCUGAUUUGGAGGAAAAGUGAAAGGGGUAAUCUACGUUAUAAAGUGCGUAAUGAGCACAAGAUUUUUUUUCUUAUCUGUGGGAAAAUCAUUCCACACACUAAUUAUGUGCCUUUUUCCUACUAAAAAUUAACCGGCUAAGGAGCUUUUAUGGAUACCAAUUUGAAAAUGUCGUUGAUUACGACCGUUGGUGCGCUGGCGAUGAUCAUUAUAUUUAGCUUCGUGGCGGUGAUGAAUUAAGUC
rnacentral:sRNA from 1 species